rnacentral:lncRNA from 1 species
ACUGUAUAUAAAAUACAUAACCAACAAGGACCUGCUGUAUAGCACAGGUAACUAACUAUACCCAAUAUUUUUAAUAGCCUAUAAAGGAAAAGAAUCUGAAAAAGAGUAUGUGGGUAUAAGAAUAUAUAUGUGUGAGUGUGUGUAUAUACAUAUAUAUGAAUGACUUAAUCACUGUGCUGUACACCAGAAACGUAACACAACAUUGUAAAUAAACUAUACUUUAAUUAAAAAAAUACACAUCUCUUUAGAAUUUAUAUAUCACAAAUGAGAAAAAAAUGGUUCAGCUCAUUAGGAAGUUUUUAGACUGACUCCUAGAACCAUCUGGAGGAGUCAGUCUCCCAUAAUGCACUCUAUACAAUGCAUUCCCCUUAAACGAUUAUUCCCAUAAACUAUUACCACAAGACUACUUACUCCAUCUCUUUAUCUUAAUUACAAAGGUGAGAAGGGCUUAGCAAUGACUUUUGCUAUGCAUGGCUUCCUUCAAGAUAAUAGUGAAUGUUUGGGAUGUUAUCAAAGGAAACACAGUACCAAUUGCAAAAACAUGGUUUGAAUUUCAGUAAUUUUCAAGAUCAUUAGGCCAAGUACAGGCAGUAUUAGGCAGAAAUUUUACUUUGUCAAAUAUUUAGCUAAAAUAGGUCUCAGAAAUUCUUUAUUCUACACAUUUUCUAUGACUACCUUCUGUUCCUUUUUGUUUUGUUUUGUUUGCUUUUUAGGGCUGCACUCACGGCAUAUGGAAGUUCCCAGGCUAGGGGUCGAAUUGGAGCUGUAGCUGCCAUCCUACACCACAGCCACAGCAACUCUGGAUCUGAGCCAAGUCUGUGAUCUACACCACAGCUUAUGGCAGAGCUGGAUUCUUAACCCACUGAGCAGGGCCAGGGAUCUAACCCAGAUUCUCAUAGAUCCUAAUUGGGCUUGUUAACCACUGAGCCAUGAAGGGAACUCCUACCUUCCAUUCUUUUUAAUGGAAGAAGUUAUAGAUAUGCACAUAACACAAUAGACAUCAUUUAAAAUGUAUUUUACAAUUCAAUUUAUAUUGACAUUGGCCUCUGUCAAGAUACAAAGUGCCAAGGCACUAUUGAAACUAAUUUUCACAGAGCGAUCACAGUUGGUGGUUUGGUGAAGAUUUACCAUAUCAAAAGAUUUUAGUGAGCUGGAAAUUUUGGUGUGAUUUAUCAGAUUCAAAAUCAAAUCUUUUGUGUUUACAUCCGGUACUUAAAAUGCUUAAGACUGACACAUAGGUUUAUAUUGUGUUUCAGUUAUAAGUGGGAAUAACGUAAAAAUCAAAUGAAUUGGUAAAGUGCAUUCAAAAGGACUGAAGAUUAACCUUAUAAGAAUGGGUAAAAUUUUUUCAUCUGAAAAAACAAUUCUUGAAGAUAAGGUAUUUAAGAUCCAGAUAAAAUCACCUGUCACAGAGGCCCUUCUUCCCCAAGAAGCUCUGAGAGGGGACACAGCUCUGUUUCUCAUCAGCAGAGAACUUGGGUGAAUCUUUUAACCUCUCUGUGCAUUUGUGUCCUCUGUAAAGAGGCACAGUGACAGAAAGUGAUGUUGAGGAUUAAAUAUGCUGACACAUGUAAGAUGCUUAGAACAGUGCCCAGCACAGAGUAGGUGCUGUAUAAAAUUUAGUUUAUCAUUAUUCGCUAACUGAACAUACCUACCAUGUUAGUGAUAAUUCAUUGACUGUGUUGGAACCAACUAUCUGCUAGAAUAUACACUUAUAAUUAGGAAAAUAAGAGGGGGACAGUUUUCCUAGAACAAAAGAGGACAUAAUGAAAACUGAGGAAUAUAUAAAUUUCCGCUUCCUCUUAAAACUUAAAAGUUUGCAGAACAUAGGAGUAAGUUCCCAAAGAGCAAAGGGGGCAGGUAAGUUUUUAUUUUGGGAAAAACAAGAUUCAUUAAAUAGCCAUAUGAAAGAGUCAGUUUAUUGGCAAAAAGCUGUUACACAGAUACAAAGCAUCCAAGUCGUUUGACUUAAUUUGUGUAUUUUAUACAACUGUGCAUACAUUUCCAGACCCUGACUUUUCUGAGAGACACUUUUUUCCUUAUCUAAGUAAGGAAAAUAAAGUCCAGUCACUGGUUUAUCUGAAUAACUCCUGGCAAGGAUUAAGGGAAUUAGGACAUGUCCUAAUUUAUAAAAUUUUGAAUGAAGUAUGGAGCUUUUUCUCUGCUUAUAUUAAAACAUCUUGAUUUUAGAUGAGAGGUAUGUUUUCUGUAGUCAAAUUAUCUUGAAUAUUUUAAAUAUUACGUAGGUUACUUUAUUUAGCUUGUCUGUGGAGGAUUUAACAUUUAGAUAUACAUCAGAAUGCAAAUCAUAAAUUGGUUGAGAGCCAAGGUAGAUAAUGAAUAUCUCUGCCUGUACCUGUCUUGGGUAGAAAUACGAUCUCGGUGCUUUUCUUUAGGAUGGUCCUGUUAAAUGGAAUUCUGAUAGAGAGAUUCAAGCUUCAUAUUAAUGUUCUCAAGUGUUAAUGUAUGCACAACCGAGCUGAUUCUAUUUCAGUGAACUCGGCAGAACCCUGGAGCUGUUGUAAGUUUGAAAAUGUUAUUUUUGAGGGAUACUGAAUGGGCUUGAGAAAAGCAACAGGCACAUUCGGAUGCAGUAUAUUUUCUAAGGCAAGACUUUUCCAGCUCCCCUACUAUCCGCUUUGGGCUUUCUCAGUUAUCUGAGAGUAAAUAAUGCUCCACACCCCUUAAUAGUUAUUAUGCUUUGCUCUUAAUUCAUUAGCAACUCCUUUGCAAAGGAGAAUGCAGAAUCUCUCUUCUCUAGAGGCUAAUUUAGAGAAAGAAGAGGCAAAGGAUGGGGUUAGUCCUAUCAUAAGACACCUAAUAAUAGAGAACAGAUAUCCAUCUCAUAGCUAAUUUUUUAUAAAUGAAAACUGGUUGCUAGGUUUUACUUAACAAGUACAUUAAAAAAUCUAAUUUAGAAUUUAGCAGUAUUCUAGUUACGUAUUUUCAGAAAAGUUGUUUAAAAGUUCUGUGUUUUUGUUCUCAUAAACAUCCUAUACAAGUUACAUGUAACAAAAAUAGAUGAAAUAGGAGUUCCCGUUGUGGCACAGUGGAAACGAAUCCGACUAGGAACCAUGAGGUUUGUGGGUUCAAUCCCUGGCCUCGCUCAGUGGGUUAAGGAUCCAGCGUUGCCAUGAGCUGUGGUAUAGGUUGGCAGCUGUAGCUCAGAUUAGACCCCUUGCCUGGGGUCUAAUCCAUAUGCUGUGAGUGUGGCCC